rnacentral:rRNA from 1 species
AUACGGAGGGUGCAAGCGUUAUUCGGAAUCACUGGGCGUAAAGGACGCGUAGGCGGGUUGGCAAGUCAGAUGUGAAAUCCUACAGCUUAACUGUAGAACUGCAUUUGAAACUGCUAACCUAGAGUAUGGGAGGGGGAGAUGGAAUUAGUGGUGUAGGGGUAAAAUCCGUAGAUACCACUAGGAAUACCGAAAGCGAAGGCGAUCUCCUGGAACAUAACUGACGCUAAGGCGUGAAAGCGUGGGGAGCAAACAGGAUUAGAUACCCUAGUAGUCC